rnacentral:rRNA from 1 species
AUCUGCCUGGUAGUGGGGGAUAACGUUCGGAAACGGACGCUAAUACCGCAUACGUCCUACGGGAGAAAGUGGGGGAUCUUCGGACCUCACGCUAUCAGAUGAGCCUAGGUCGGAUUAGCUAGUUGGUGGGGUAAUGGCUCACCAAGGCGACGAUCCGUAACUGGUCUGAGAGGAUGAUCAGUCACACUGGAACUGAGACACGGUCCAGACUCCUACGGGAGGCAGCAGUGGGGAAUAUUGGACAAUGGGCGAAAGCCUGAUCCAGCCAUGCCGCGUGUGUGAAGAAGGUCUUCGGAUUGUAAAGCACUUUAAGUUGGGAGGAAGGGCAGCUAGUUAAUACCUGGUUGUUUUGACGUUACCAACAGAAUAAGCACCGGCUAACUUCGUGCCAGCAGCCGCGGUAAUACGAAGGGUGCAAGCGUUAAUCGGAAUUACUGGGCGUAAAGCGCGCGUAGGUGGUUCAGCAAGUUGGAGGUGAAAUCCCCGGGCUCAACCUGGGAACUGCCUCCAAAACUACUGAGCUAGAGUACGGUAGAGGGUAGUGGAAUUUCCUGUGUAGCGGUGAAAUGCGUAGAUAUAGGAAGGAACACCAGUGGCGAAGGCGACUACCUGGACUGAUACUGACACUGAGGUGCGAAAGCGUGGGGAGCAAACAGGAUUAGAUACCCUGGUAGUCCACGCCGUAAACGAUGUCGACUAGCCGUUGGGAUCCUUGAGAUCUUAGUGGCGAAGCUAACGCGAUAAGUCGACCGCCUGGGGAGUACGGCCGCAAGGUUAAAACUCAA